UAAAUAUAGGGAACACGAGGAUAACACUAGUACAACAACAACGAAGAGAACCACGUUUUCAGUUUUUCUCAUCUAUGAAAGAAUUCUACCAUGUAUAAUAAAGAACAACUUGCUAUAACAUGGAUCAACAAAUAACUGAUGGUACAUAGCUUAGUUCCCUGUUAUGUUUAACACCUCCAAGAAAAAAUGGGAGAAGUCACUGUGGAACUGUUAUAACAUUUACAAUAUUUGCAUAUUCUAAAUAAAUGGAAAAGCGAUAUUAAUUAAUCCGAUGAUAAUUUAUCGUCUUGAUAACAUUUCAGGCGUUAAGGAUGAAAAAUCAUAGUGAUAUCCUGAUUGCAUUGGAACAACUGGAACUGCUGGCAAACUUGGUAAAGGUCUAAUAGCUCCUGUUGCUGUUAUUCCAUUCAUUGGAGCUACUGGCACUGCAGAAAACAUGCUGCAAAUUUGAAGAAACAACAGGUUAUUACCUCGUCGUAUAACAGCAGUAAAUACAGACAAAUUUCUCUAUAGCAGCCGUCCUCUAUAUAUAAUAAAGCUUCAUUAAGUCAGGCGCGCAACCCCUGCAAAUUUCUCUAUAGCAGC
rnacentral:lncRNA from 1 species